rnacentral:rRNA from 1 species
CACGGAAGGGGCAAGCGUUGUUCGGAAUCAUUGGGCGUAAAGGGUGCGCAGGCUGUUUGACAAGUCUGAUGUGAAAGCCCACAGCUUAACUGUGGAGACGCAUUGGAAACUGUCUGACUAGAGUAAAUGAGGGGAAAUCGGAAUUCCUAGUGUAGGGGUGAAAUCUGUAGAUAUUAGGAAGAACACCGAUGGCGAAGGCAGAUUUCUGGCAUUUUACUGACGCUGAGGCACGAAAGCGUGGGGAGCGAACAGG